GUGGGGAAUAUUGGACAAUGGGCGCAAGCCUGAUCCAGCCAUGCCGCGUGAGUGAUGAAGGCCUUAGGGUUGUAAAGCUCUUUCGUCAGGGAAGAUAAUGACGGUACCUGAAGAAGAAGCCCCGGCUAACUUCGUGCCAGCAGCCGCGGUAAUACGAAGGGGGCUAGCGUUGCUCGGAAUCACUGGGCGUAAAGCGCACGUAGGCGGCUUUCUAAGUCAGGGGUGAAAUCCUGGAGCUCAAAUACAGAACUGCCUUUGAUACUGGAGAGCUUGAGUUCGGGAGAGGUGAGUGGAACUGCGAGUGUAGAGGUGAAAUUCGUAGAUAUUCGCAAGAACACCAGUGGCGAAGGCGGCUCACUGGCCCGAUACUGACGCUGAGGUGCGAAAGCGUGGGGAGCAAACAGGAUUAGAUACCCCAGUAGUCC
rnacentral:rRNA from 1 species